rnacentral:rRNA from 1 species
UCUACCUUUUACAGAGGGAUAGCCCAGAGAAAUUUGGAUUAAUACCUCAUAGUAUAUAGCCCUGGCAUCANGAUUAUAUUAAAGUCACAACGGUAAAAGAUGAGCAUGCGUCCCAUUAGCUAGUUGGUAAGGUAACGGCUUACCAAGGCUACGAUGGGUAGGGGUCCUGAGAGGGAGAUCCCCCACACUGGUACUGAGACACGGACCAGACUCCUACGGGAGGCAGCAGUGAGGAAUAUUGGACAAUGGGCGCAAGCCUGAUCCAGCCAUGCCGCGUGCAGGAUGACGGUCCUAUGGAUUGUAAACUGCUUUUAUACGAGAAGAAACACUCCUUCGUGAAGGAGCUUGACGGUAUCGUAAGAAUAAGGAUCGGCUAACUCCGUGCCAGCAGCCGCGGUAAUACGGAGGAUCCAAGCGUUAUCCGGAAUCAUUGGGUUUAAAGGGUCCGUAGGCGGUUUAAUAAGUCAGUGGUGAAAGCCCAUCGCUCAACGGUGGAACGGCCAUUGAUACUGUUAGACUUGAAUUAUUAGGAAGUAACUA